GACAGAGGUGGCAAGCGUUGUCCGGAAUUACUGGGCGUAAAGCGCGCGUAGGUGGCUAGAUAAGUCCGGUGUGAAAUCCUUCGGCUUAACCGGGGAAUGGCAUCGGGGACUGUUUAGCUAGAGGACGGGAGAGGAGAGCGGAAUUCCCGGUGUAGCGGUGAAAUGCGUAGAGAUCGGGAGGAAGGCCGGUGGCGAAGGCGGCUCUCUGGGUCUGUCCUGACGCUCAGGCGCGAAAGCUAGGGGAGCAAACAGG
rnacentral:rRNA from 1 species